rnacentral:rRNA from 1 species
CGCACGGGUGAGUAACGCGUAGGCAAUCUGCCCAUAGCAGGGAGAUAACCACUGGAAACGGUGGCUAAUAUCGCAUAAUGCAGCGGGGUCGCAUGACCACAGUUGUUAAAGGACUUCGGUCCAGCUAUGGAUGAGCCUGCGUGCCAUUAGUUAGUUGGUAGGGUAACGGCCUACCAAGGCGAUGAUGGCUAGGGGGUCUGAGAGGAUGAUCCCCCACACUGGGACUGAGACACGGCCCAGACUCCUACGGGAGGCAGCAGUGAGGAAUCUUGCGCAAUGGAGGAAACUCUGACGCAGCCACGCCGCGUGCCGGAAGACGGCCCUAUGGGUUGUAAACGGCUUUUGAUUGGGAAGAACUAGUGGGUUUCGACCUGCUUUGACGGUACCAUUUGAAUAAGCACCGGCUAACUCCGUGCCAGCAGCCGCGGUAAUACGGAGGGUGCAAGCGUUGUCCGGAAUCAUUGGGUGUAAAGGGUGCGUAGGCUGGUAUCUAAGUCUGGGGUGAAAUCUUGCCGCUUAACGGUAAAAUUGCCUUGGAUACUGGAUAUCUUGAAUCUGACAGAGGUCGGUGGAAUUCGUGGUGUAGCGGUGAAAUGCAUAGAUAUCACGAAGAACAUCAGUGGCGAAGGCGGCCGGCUGGGUCAGUAUUGACGCUGAGGCACGAGAGCGUGGGGAGCGAACAGGAUUAGAUACCCUGCUAGUCCACGCUGUAAACGAUGUAUGCUAGUUGUUGGGCCUUUGGGUUCAGUGACGCAGUUAACGCAGUAAGCAUACCACCUGGGGAGUACGUUCGCAGAUGAAACUCAAAGGAAUUGACGGGGCCCGCACAAGCGGUGGAGCAUGUGGCUAAUUCGAUGCACGCGAAGACCUUACC